UUCUUGACCUGAUGUGCACUGCAGAAGUGGCCCGUUUAGUUAACAAGUCCGAAACAGCUAUCUCGUUAAACCAGCUGGAUUUUGAAUUUUGAGACAGACCCAUUCAUUACAGACACACUGUAUCAAGGAGGCGUGUUCCCGUUUAUGCCUAUCACUCGCGCGCCCUUGCGGUCCAAAGUGGACCUGUUUGUGUGUGUGUGUGUGUAAAGCCGCGACACAGUAACAGAGAGGAGGGCCACAAAAAUGGCGGCAGGAGCUGGUGCGACAAGCGGCCACGGUGGUCGCGGUGCGUCCGCCACUUUGGAGUCGUCUUUGGACCGGCGAUUUCAAGGAGUGUCCAACACAAUGGAAUCGAUACAAGGACUAUCCACCUGGUGCAUCGAAAACAAGAAAUACCACAGCCUGAUCGUGCGGUACUGGAUGAAAUGGCUGAGAAAAUCUGACGCCCCCCACAGACUGAACCUGUUCUACCUCGCCAAUGAUGUCAUUCAGAACUGCAAGAGGAAGAAUGCCAUCGUCUAUCGCUCCUCCUUCGCAGAAGUGCUUCCAGAAGCUGCCCUACUGGUCAAAGACGGGAAAGUGCGCAAGUCUGUGGAGCGGAUCUUCACCAUCUGGGAGGAGAGGAACGUGUACCCCGAGGAGCUCAUUACGGAGCUGAAAGCCUGCCUGGUGAAGAAGGAGCCCCCUGCCAGUAAGCCUCAAACCCCAGUCAACCCCAAAGCCACCCUGAAGUCCAAGAUAGUAGCAGAGUUUGCACCUCAGGCAUUUAUCGAGCAGCUGUCAGUGUAUAAGCGAUCUGUGGAGGAGGCGGAGCUAAAGGAGAAGCAGCUCUCUGCUCUGAGGGUGGACGUCUGCAGCACAGAGGCACUGAAGAGACUGAAAGACAAGGCAGGGGGUAAGAAGUUCUCGAAGGACUUCGAGGAGGGCAGUGCAAAACUGCAGGAGUUUGUGAGCUUCUUGGAGCAGCAGAUGAAAGGAGGGCCCCCCCUUCUGGAGGCCCUGGGCAACGCAGACGUCUUCUAUGAGAUGCAGUACAAGGAGGUCAAGAUUGUCGCCAAUGCUUACAAGACCUUUGCCAACCGUGUAUCAAAUCUCAAGCGCAAGCUGGACGCCCUGAAGGCCACUCUCCCUGACCCUGACGACUCCCCCAUCCCCUCCCCCUCCGAGGACGCCCCCUCUCCCACGGGCUCGGAGUCCCCCUUUCACGGCAUGGGGGUCGGGGGUGCCAAGGGAGAGGGGGCAACGGACGGGGCCAACACGAUGGACAUUGACGGACGGGUCAUGGACGACAGAGACGGCGCACGCAUCGCUCUGGGGGGAGUCCCCAGCCCCCUGUCCUCUCCCGGCCGGUCGCACGGACAGACGCACAGACACGGAGAAGGGGACAACCGGGACGUGGAGGACAUGGAGCUCUCUGAGGGGGAGGAGACAGAGGGCACAAGCAUCAUUGUAGAGGAGAGACGAGAGAAGCCAGCCCCAAUCGCUGCAUCCAAGCCAGCCCCUGCUGCUGCCCCUCCACCACUGCGGGCCUCAGAGGAACCUCCCGCCAAACAGGCCGCACCUCCCUCCACCCCCACCCCCACUCCCAGCACCCCCGGGACUCCUGCAACACCCCUCCCUGUCAACCUGGCCAACGUGGACUUGGGCAAGAUCAGCUCCAUCCUCAGUAGCCUCACCUCUGUGAUGAAGAGCACUGGAGUAAGCCCAGUGUCACGCCCCUCCCCGGGGACCCCAACCACCCCCUCAGUCCUCAAGCCCCCCACCCCAUCCCCCGGAGGUCCCCCAGCUGCUAACCCUCUGGCCAGCAUCCUGUCCCGGGUCGACAUCACCCCUGAGGGGAUCCUCAGCGCCCUGUCCAAAACGCAGGCGCAGAGUGGCGGGCUGCAGGGUCUGUCCUCCCUUCUGCACAGUGUGGCUGGAAAUGCCACCUCAGGGGCGGGCAAGGAGCGCCCCCCCGCCUCCAGCUCCGCCGCACCCCCCCGGGGCCACAGCUACACUGCCCCAGAGGCCACCCCGUCGUCGUCAUCGUCGUCUGCGGCGGGGGGCAAGACCUCCACCACACCCACGACGCCCAAGCAAAAACUGCCACUGGGCAACAACUACAAGCGUGAGCUAGACAGAGAGAGGGGGAGAGAGAUGGAGAAAGAGAGAGAGCCCGCUCCCUCUGUGUCCACCCCCCCUUCUAGCCUGGAGUCGAAGAUCCACAAGUUUCUCCAGGGGAACCCGGGGUUCAGUGCGCUGAACCUCGGUAUCCCCAUCCUGGGCAGUGGCCCUGGCGGGAGCAGCGACAGCCCCUUGCUGGGGUCCGAGAACGUGGACGGGACCCCGGUUCGGGACGAGACGGGGGGCACCCCUACUCAGGACGAGAUCAUGGACAAGCCCGGAUCGGAAUCCCUGGCGCUCCUCACAGAUUCCAGCUCUUUAGGAGGGGUGAAGAAGCUGGCGUCAUCCACAGGUCAUGACCUCUCCCCCACCGCCUACCGCAGUGACUCCUGGGACGCCUCCAUCUCGCCCCAGGCACUUUUCGGGGAAGCGGAGGACCGUGACGGGGAUUACCGUUCCGCACGCUACUCCGGUUUUGGGACGGACAAGAAGCUGGCCAAGUCCGCGCUGAAGCCGAAAGGGGAGGACGCGGCGAAGAGGAAGGGGGUGGCUUCUCUGUCCACGUCGGCUGCCUCCUCUUCCUCCUCCUUGUCCAUCUCCCAAGACGCCAAGCCCGGCCACAGCAAAGCCAGGAAGGACGGGCACGGUGCCGGGAGCAGCCUGGGCAAGCCCAGCGUUUACGAUGGAGGAGGAGAGAGGAGAGGGUCGACCGCGGGCGAGUCCUACCCCCAUCACCCCCUGAAGACCGCAGGGUCCCGGAAAGCAGGCGGUGGGCUGGAAGAAGGGGGCAAGGAGAGAGAGGGAGAGGGCGAAGGCGGGAAGGAGAAGGCCUCUGGGACAUCUCCAGGCAGCGAGUCCGAGACGGGGCACUACCACCGGAUCGAAACUCUGGUGUCCUCCUCGGCGUGCGGGGAAGGCGCCCCCAUACAAACGCUGGGGUACAGUAACCGGCGAAUGUCGGGGGAGAGGAUUCAGACGGUGGAGAGCAUUCGGGUGAUCGGCCGAGGCGUGCGACCCCACUCCAGAGGAGCCGGGGCCGGGGCCAGGCCGGGCCCCGCUGCAGGCAGCUGGUACGACGAAGCCUACAUGGAGGGGCCGCCCCCUCCUGCCCUGGGGCCGCCCCCGUCCCUCGGACUCCCGCCCCGUCCCAGCAACCCCGCCCUGCCCUCGCAGGGAAGCUCUGACGAAUUGGGCGGCUCUGCUUUGCCCCCGCCGCCGUCGCAUCUGUUGCCUUCCCACCCCCACCUGCCCCCGGGGCAGUUCCAGUUUGAGGAGAGGGCGCACAUGGCCUACCCGGGCGAAGACCCUCACUCUCGCCCUCACCCCCUCCCGCACCCGCCUCCAUCCUCGUUCUUCAGCUCCCCUCCCCCGCCCAUCCCACAGCCGCCUCCCCCGCCCAUCCCCCAGCCGCCGCCCCCGCCCCAGGACUUCCUGUCUCCGCCUUCCGCAGUCAUGGUCGGGGGCGUGCUAGUGCCCGUCGAUCGCGUUCUGCCCUUCCCUCCCUCCAGACCCGACGGGGGAGAGCGGGGGGGUGGGGCCGGUAGCAGCACUGCUGGCAGCUCCGGUGUUAGCGGGGCAGGUAACCCCAACCCCCACUGCCCCCCACCUCUCAUGUCCUCCCUGCUUGGCGACCCCCCGCUGCCCCGGCUGGGCACGGUGAAAGACCAUUUCACACCCCGUCACGCCCCUCCUCUCCACCGCCCCGGAACCCCAGGGGUCCCCCCUCCCCUGCUGGGCAGGGUCAGGGAGGGCCCUAGUCCCCCGCCGGCCUCUUCGGCCUCCUCGGCCCCGCCCUCGCCCUCAGGUGACCCCCCUCCCCUCCUCCUUCCGCCGAACCGGCAUCCCGCCCCCGCCGCGCCACUGCAGCAGAACCAGCGGCCUCCCACCAGCCCCCCUGCUCAGUCCCGCAACCACAGACGGCCCCCUUCCCCUCUCUCGCUCCUGCGCCUGCCCUCCCCCACCCCCCGGCCUCACCUCCGCCCCCCACACCCAGCUGCUCUCCCUCAGAGACAGUUCCUCCGCGGCCGGCCUCCCCAUCCCCUCCGCCCCCCUCAGUUUGACCGAGACCCCCCCUUCCUUGGGGGGAAGCGACCCGGUCCGCCAUUUAGUGGUUCUCCGGCAGGAGGGGUGGGAGGGCCUGGAGGAUACAGUCAUUCCUCUUGUCCUCACAUGGAGAAGUCAAAGGGAAAUGAUGGGAGGAUGAACUAGGAGGAAGAGGGAUGGCAGUCUGGAGAGGAUUUGCAGAGAGAGAUCAAAGAAAGACAAGCGGUGGUCGCCCGCGUGGGGAUCCGCACGCCUGUGCGCCUCCGAGUCUCUGCGUGAGAGACGGGAAGAGCGAUGGAGGGGGGAGAAGGCUGGAGAGGGACUUCGAGUCACGCUGCCAGAUGGCAGGACAGUGAAGGGCACAGCAGGGGUCACCACACCUCUAGUCAUCGCAGAGAAAAGCUCGUAUCCAAAGUGCAGUGGUGGGAAUGAUGGAUGGAGAACUGGGAGCUGCAGUGCCCCCUGGAGGCAGACUUUGAGCUGCACCUGCUGGGAUUUGACGGUGCUGAGGGCAAUCAGCUCCCUCUCUUUCUCUCUAGGGGAGGUGAAGGAGAGGAACAGGGAGUUAGUCUCCCUCAAGCUUCCCUUCUCCAGAAUGGAGCUCCAUAUUCAGUAGCUGAAAGAGCCCUUCAAGGACAGGGAGCUGGUCUUCAUUGAUGUGGAGGUAGCUUCCAGGUGGCCUCUUCUUCCUGCCAAAAAAAGCUACAACACACUCUCCGAUUUUAACAAGGCUGUGUACCAAAGGCAUGGAUUCAGAGAGGUCCUGACCCCUGCCCUCUACAGCAAAGCAUUAUGGGACUGCUCAGGCCAUUGGGAGCCCUACAGCGGGAACAUGUUCACUGUACAUUACCUCCCUGGCGCUUACACCCUGAAACCCUGCGCCUGCUGUUAUGGGAGAUCCCAUCCUGUCUGGAGUUUGUUUGCAGUGUAUACAGGGUGUUUGGCUUCUCCUUCCGCUGCUAGCUCUCCACACGCCACCCCCCC